rnacentral:rRNA from 1 species
CCUACGGGUGGCUGCAGUGAGGAAUAUUGGUCAAUGGCCGGAAGGCUGAACCAGCCAUCCCGCGUGCAGGAUGACGGCCCUAUGGGUUGUAAACUGCUUUUGUACCUGAAGAAACCUGGUUACGUGUAACCAGUUGCCGGUAAGGUAUGAAUAAGCAUCGGCUAACUCCGUGCCAGCAGCCGCGGUAAUACGGAGGAUGCCAGCUUUAUCCGGAUUCAUUGGGUUUAAAGGGUGCAAAGAUGUCAGAAUUGAAAUACUGCCGCUUAACGGUAGAAUUGCCAUUGAUACUGUUUUUCUUGAGUAUGGUUGAGGUAGGUGGAAUGUGUUGUGUAGCGGUGAAAUGCAUAGAUAUGACACAGAACGCCGAUUGCGAAGGCAGCUUACUAAGCCAUUACUGACGCUGAGGCACGAAAGCGUGGGGAUCAAACAGGAUUAGAUACCCCAGUAGUC